UUGAAAGUUUUCAGUUUACAAGGCAGUUAAAUUAAUUUAAAUAUUUUUUUGUUCUUUUUUUGCAAAUAACUGCGAGCAUAAUUCACAUUGGAAUUGAGUUUGGAUUACAAACCCUUUUGUUUUUGCUGGCCGCAGAAUUAAUUAAAUUUCAGAUGAAAUGUCAAAAGCACUUGCAAUAAAGCCUUAGUUAAGUGAAUCCGAAUAGCAAUCCAUUUGCGCAUAUUAGAUGCAUAUUCCAUUUGAAAAUUAAAUCGCAAUAUUUUUCGAAAACAAUGCUAACAAUGCAAUUGCAAUGGUUUGCUGAACAGAACAAAGCUUGAGAAGAUUGAAAAAUAUGACAAAUGAAAUAUCAAGGUUCUAAAAAUCGACUAGUACAUCCCAACCAACUAGCAACCUGUCGACCUGACGAGCUAAUCUAUAAGUGCAAAUCUCUUACCCUCAUAACAAGGUAAAAGUAAUUCGCAUUUUUUUCUCAUUAGGACGAGCCAACCAGUUUUCAAUAAAAUAUUAUUCAAAAAGACAGCAAAUGGAAUUUGAAAUAAAAUUCGUGUCUCAAAUUUCGAAAUCA